rnacentral:rRNA from 1 species
UACGAAUGGGGCAAGCGUUGUUCGGAAUAACUGGGCUUAAAGCGUGCGUAGGCGGCUAUGAAAGUCAGAAGUGAAAUCCCCGGGCUUAACCCGGGAAUUGCUUUUGAAACUCCAUAGCUAGAAUCCGGGAGAGGUUAGCAGAAUUCUCAGUGUAGAGGUGAAAUUCGCAGAUAUUGAGAGGAAUACCAGUGGCGAAGGCGGCUAACUGGACCGGCAUUGACGCUGAGGUACGAAAGCGUGGGUAGCAAACAGG